UCUCGAUUGGUCUAGUGGUCAGGAUACCUGCUUGUCAUCGGACAAGUGCGCAGGUGGCCGGGGUUCGAUUCCCCGAUCGAGAG